rnacentral:rRNA from 1 species
UACGUAGGGACCGAGCGUUGUCCGGAAUCAUUGGGCGUAAAGAGCUCGUAGGCGGUUCAGUAAGUCGGGUGUGAAAUCUCCGUGCUCAACACGGAGCGGCCACCUGAUACUGCUGUGACUCGAGUCCGGUAGGGGAGUGUGGAAUUCCCGGUGUAGCGGUGAAAUGCGCAGAUAUCGGGAGGAACACCAGUAGCGAAGGCGGCACUCUGGGCCGUGACUGACGCUGAGGAGCGAAAGCGUGGGUAGCAAACAGG